AUUUUUUUAGUAUAUCAAGUAUAUAUGACUUCCAAUCAUAAGGACUAGAACCUCUAGAAAAAAUA
rnacentral:tRNA from 1 species